rnacentral:lncRNA from 1 species
GUAAGGUUUCCUGAGACAAUAUAUCACAAGUUAAAUAAAAACAAUUUUCAGACAUUUCAGGUAUAUUUGAAUAAUAUUUAUACUUUUAUUAUUUAAAAAAAAAAUGGGAAGUGUUUCCCAAUUUUUUUUUUUGGGGGGAAAAUGAAUUUAUGAAGAAUCUGGUGCCAUCUCAUACUCUCAUUACAAACUGCCACAGAACAAACCAUAAUAAACAAAC